AGAAGAGGAAAUGUUGGCCGGGCGCAGUGACUCACACCUGUAAUCCCAGCACUUUGGGGGGCCAAGGUGUGUGGAUCACCUGAAGUCAGAAGUUCAAGACCAGCCUGGCCAAUAUGCGAAACCCCGUCUCUACUAAAAAUACAAAAAUUAGCCAGGCAUGGUGGCUGACACCUGUAAUCCCAGCUACUUGGGAGGCUGAGGCAGGAAUCACUUGAACCCGGGAGGCGGAGGUUGCAGUGAGCCAAGAUAGUGCCACUGCACUGCAGACUGGGCGACAGAGCAGGACUCCAUCUCAAAAAA